rnacentral:sRNA from 1 species
ACACAAGGACGAACAGAUUAAUAAAGAAUAUAAUAAUUUUAUUUUCCCAAUUAAUUUUUGCAUUUUCAAGUUAAUAAAAUUAGUGCCUUAAUAUUUUGUCACUUUUUACAUGAAUUAUCGAUUUUUUUUCUUGUGUCUGUUAGUUCUUUUUGUUAAUAUUACUUUGUUGCUUUUUUCUCUAUUAAUGAAUGUUAGAAUGCAUGCAUGCAAGAAUGUUGUCAUUAUAUUCGAGUAUAUCGAACUCAUAAUGAACAGAAGUGUUUAAAUGAUCACUAUAUUAUUGGCUAAUUAUAUAAUUGUCUUUUAAAUGUAAAGAAAUGUGUAUGGAAAUUCUGAUAUAAAGGAAUUAAAUGGAAUUGUAAAC